rnacentral:rRNA from 1 species
GACGAACGCCGGCGGCGUGCCUAACACAUGCAAGUCGAGCGGAGUUACCCUUCGGGGUAACUUAGUGGCGAACGGGUGAGUAACGCGUGAGAAACCUGCCUUUCAGUGGGGGACAACAGUUGGAAACGACUGCUAAUACCGCAUAAUGUUAUUUGGGGGCAUCCCUGAAUAACCAAAGAUUUAUUGCUGAAAGAGGGUCUCGCGUCUGAUUAGCUAGUUGGUAGGGUAAAGGCCUACCAAGGCGACGAUCAGUAGCCGGUCUGAGAGGAUGAACGGCCACAUUGGGACUGAGAUACGGCCCAGACUCCUACGGGAGGCAGCAGUGGGGAAUAUUGGGCAAUGGGGGAAACCCUGACCCAGCAACGCCGCGUGAAGGAAGAAGGCCUUCGGGUUGUAAACUUCUUUUACCAGGGACGAAGAACGUGACGGUACCUGGAGAAAAAGCAACGGCUAACUACGUGCCAGCAGCCGCCGCCGUAA